CUUAUGCCAGCAUUAACUGCCUGCUCUUUUUUUUUCCUCCUCCUUUUUUGUGACAGGAAAAGGGUAACGGCUCGCUCUGCUGUACGAGAGGGACCCCAGGACGUGCGCAGUCCCUCCACGCUGCACCGCACUCCCUGCGCUCACAUCUGAAAAUUCAUGUCUGUGAGUAGCUUGGUCAAGUGAUGGAUUAUCUGCGGUGCUCACGCUACCUUCCCUGAUGCUAAAAGCACCUUUAAAUCUGCAACAGAAAAGAAGUGAGCAGCACGGCUGCGGUCCUGCUGCAGGCUUGUGUGUUUCCAUUGCGCUGUGCAGUUGCUGACGGGGAUUUUGUUUAGCACGUGUGGCUCCAGGGGACCAUUCCCCAGUAAUUGUCACUUUGGCAUGCUGCCGCAGCUCAGCGAAACACGAAGAGGCUGAGGACAGUCGUGGGAUGAGCAGAACCAUGCGUGAGCACUGCGGGAUCCCUCAGCGCUUGCUUUGGGGCUCCCGGCCACUCAGAUCUGGGAAACUCUUUCCUGCCUGGCCCGCCAAGCAGCAUCCCCCCAUGGGAGCCUGAGGGUUUUAACCUGGGAGAGCUUCCAUGCCACAAUGCUCUGCUAUGAAACGGAAAAACACUGGGUUUUAUCGGUGCUGUCAGGUGGUGGAUCAGAGCAGGUUUCUGCGCUCUCUGGUGAGCGUGGUCAAUGGGAAGCCCUGGCAGCGGUGGCUGGCGGGCAGGGAGCUCCCACGGGAGCCAUGGCUCCAAGGAAGCCCUGUGCGCUGCCUGCCCUGGCCUGGCACAAGGCAGCCUGCCCCAGGCCUCUGGGCUCAUUAGCAAAGUUAACUAUUUUCAAAGUGAAAUCAGCUCCCGAGUUCUGCUGUCUCAGCCUUGUGACUUGAAAGGUCUACUGUAAAAAGCAAUAGCUGUAAUCCUUUCCUUAAAAAAGGCUGUUAGCUCAAAGUUCAUCUCUGCUGCCCUUAUGCUAUAUAGUCUGUUUAUAGUAAGCAAUAGACCAGUCCGCUCUUCUUUAACCCUCUAACACGGCAGUGGCCUUUAUAAACUUGCCAAGUUUAUAAGAGAGCAAGCCUGUAGUAUUUUCCACCAGAAAUGAUCCCCUGGCUUUUUGAGACUACUUAUAUAUUCAGAAUAAGUGAGGGAGGCAGAAGUAUGUCUAUAUAAGUGUCAUAUAAAACCUGCCUAAUGGAAUUAGCAGGAAUAAGUCAGUGAAACUCCAUUGAAGUCAGCUGAGUUGCUCCCUCUUAAUUGGUGAAUUUGUCAUCAAAUACUUAAUUUCCUCUAUAGAGGGAUGGAGAUACGUUAUAUAUUCUGUAAGCUAAAAAUAGCUAGUCUCUGAAUUGGUUCUCCAUCAUUAAUAGAACUCAAAAAAGGAAUUUUUUGCAGCCUGAAGAGGUCAUAAUUCCCAUAUGAAGAAAUUUAAUAAGUAUUAAUUAAAUUCUGAAGAAGAGGCUCUCCUUGUUAGUGGUGUGCUGGAUGCUUAGCUCAUGCUAAUGGUAAAGCCGAACAGACUCCCGGGCUGCCUCUCGCGCCCAUCUCCACUUCUGGUUUCCAUGGGAACCGCGAGCAAGUUAAGAGCAGUACCGUUAAACUGUACGGCAAUUUCUGCUCCAUCUCUCUGAAGGAAAAACGUCAUUGGAAACUAUUUCUGCACCAGCUUUUGUAACCAAAGACUUUUUUCCUCCAGUGUUUUUCUGCACCUGAGCAAGCUCUUCCAGAGAAAAUAGAAGGACUGUUAGUUAAUGACUUGCUCUGCAGCAUGGGGCUUUUAUCAGCCACGUAACAUAUUAUGUUAACUGGAAAGCUUCACAAAUCAGUGCAUUAUCUAGAUAGGAAGCAUAAAAUACAAAUAUUCAGCUCUCUUAAAUCUGUACAGAAGGGCCG
rnacentral:lncRNA from 1 species